GAUGAACGCUGGCGGCGUGCCUAAUACAUGCAAGUCGAGCGAACAGAUAAUGAGUUUUCUCCUUUGACGUUAGCGGCGGACGGGUGAGUAACACGUGGAUAAUCUAACUAUAAGACUGGGAGAACUUCGGGAAACCGGAGCUAAUACCGGAUAACAUAUUGAACCGCAUGGUUCAAUAGUGAAAGGCGGCUUUGCUGUCACUUAAAGAUGGAUACGCACCGUAUUAGCUAGUUGGUAAGGUAACGGCUUACCAAGGCAACGAUACGUAGCAGAACUGAGAGGCUGAUCGGCCACACUGGAACUGAGAAUCGGUCCAGACUCCUACGGUAGGCACCAGUCGGGAAACUUACGCAACGAUCGAAAGCCUGACGGAACAGCGCCACGUGAGUGAUGAAGGUCUUCUGAUCGUAAAAACGUGUUAUCAGGGAAGAACAAAUGUGUAAGUACCUGUGAACAUCUUGACGGUACCUUAUCAGAAAGCCACGGCUAACUACGUG
rnacentral:rRNA from 1 species